GUGCUAGCCCCCGCGCGGGUGCCCGCGUCCCGGCCCGGAAGAGAGGCGGGACGACGGCGCGUCCUCUCCCCGCAAGAUUACCUCGCAGCGCGUAGCCGGCUUUGUGUUUCCCCUCCCUCCUUCUCGGCAGCCGCCCGGGCUGCAGCAGCCGCCGGAUCCGCCGCUGCGGCCGCCUCUUAAGCGCCGCAGAGCCCCAGAGGGUGUGGAUUCUGCAAUGCUGCACAGAAACCUACUGCAGCCUCAGACCAACAGCAGCAGCAGCAGCGGCGGCGGCGGCAGCAGCAGCAGCAGCAUUAGCAGCAGCAGCUUCUCUCAAUGCUGAGUAACUGUCAUUGUGAAGGGGUCCUUCAGAAGGAUUCAUCAUGUGAAGAAAAAUGGCUACCUAAGUGCAGGGAUUUCAAGGGCAGCAACAGCCUUCUCUGACUAUAUCUCCAAAGUAUCCCUAUUUACAGGCCAAGAAGCCAGUGUGUCCUCUCCUGGCUCUCAUUCCCUUCCUGCUAGUUGAAUACAGAUAAUCAUGAGGCCCAAGACCCUAAGGAACAGUGCAGCCAGGAGUCGGAAGGAGCCUGGGUUUCUGAAUCAUCACAUGGAGGGGAGCUGUCUUCAGCUGGGAGAGCUGUCUUCAGUUGGAUACUGGAUGGAGUCUCACUCUGUCACCCAGGCUGGAGUGCAGUGGUGCAGUUUCGGCUCACUGCAACCUCCGCCUCCCAGGUUCAAGCCAUUCUCCUGCCUCAGCCUCCCGAGUAGCUGGGAUUACAGGAGGAAGAAAGGGAGCUGGUUAGGAAGCAAACUUGAGUUUCCCAUGCUCUGUGGCUGAGCAAGUCACUUCACCAUUCUCAGGAUGGAAGUGGGGAUGGAGGUGGCAUCGGCCUCAUUUGAACCACAUGGACUAAGAGGGGCUAUGGGAGUAUUCCCCAAAGGAAGACUGAGGGGCGUUACUAGAAAAUGGGAGAAUGGAAGCAGAGUGGGCAAAACCAACAGAUGUUCCCUAUAGUAAAUAAAAAAUUUGGACAAUUAUUAGUGAGCAAGUACUUAUAACAUAUAUGGCACAUGGGAUUGUGACUCACCAGUGUGUUAGCACAAUAUGGUCAAAAACCUCUGAUCCAAUUCAACCUACUCAUCUUAACGAUUUUAUCAGCAUUUAAUAAGUUUGUUUUGGCCAUCAUGUGUUAUAGUUUUGUUUGUGGUUUUGACACCUCAUUAGAGGUUUCAUCAGUGUAAGGAGCCAACCUAAGAGCUCUUCUCACAAGUUUCCCAAGAGAGAAAUUGCCCCUCCAAAUGUGAGGAGUCUCACUUUAUAUAGAUAGCAUCCACACUUCUUGCAGUGGAAAACAAACCUUAUAAAAUGUAAUACGUUUGGUUUCCUAACUUUUUCAUGACCCUGGGGUGGUAGAAGGAAGUGCAAGUUUUAUCACUUGGAUUUAGAGACAAGGAAAUUGAAAUGGAGAGAGAAUUGGGCUCACAUGCAGGCAGCAUGUCUAGCUGCCUCCAUCGUGUGAUCUGAGGCACCCCAUGAGGCCUAUGAUUACUGUAAACCUCUAAAAUAAAUAAAAAAUAAAACAAUCUCUGCCACUGA
rnacentral:lncRNA from 1 species